rnacentral:lncRNA from 1 species
UAGGAACCCAAAAGACAAAGUACUCAAGCGUCUGAGAAUGUUCACGAAUCACCAGAUGCAAUACCAGAAACAUGUAAUAAAGAUUUGAAUCCUUGCUCUAAAAUGGAUAUAAAGCUGAAAUAAUAUAAGGUGGACUCCAAUGGCAGCAUCAAGAUGUUCUCCCAGUUGUACUCGGAAAGAUAUGCUUCUGAGGGGAAAGCUAUUUUUUUCCUAAAUGCAUAUUAGGUAAAAAGUGUGUGUCAGAGAUAAAAGUAUGCUGAUUAAGACCCUAGUCUUGGGGCAAUUAGACUUGCAUCACAGUCUCCCAACUCUAUUUGCUAAUUGUUUAAUAAAUUCUCUAUACCGUAAUUUAUUAUCUUGAUGGAUUAACAACAGUAACACCAUCUUAGAAUUUUUAAGAAGAAUAAAUGGGAUUAUACAUAUAAAAUGAUGAGCACACUAUCAGGACCACAGAUGUUUGUGUUGUUGCUUUUCUUUAGGUUUAUCCACACUGUCCUCC